rnacentral:rRNA from 1 species
UUUGGAAUAGGACAUCAUAGAGGGUGAGAAUCCCGUAUUUGGUCAUUCUUUCUAGCUGUGUGAUACACUUUCAAAGAGUCGGAUUGUUUGGGAAUGCAGUCCAAAAUGGGUGGUAAAUUUCAUCUAAAGCUAAAUAUUGGCGAGAGACCGAUAGCGAACAAGUACCGUGAGGGAAAGAUGAAAAGAACUUUGAAAAGAGAGUUAAACAGUACGUGAAAUUGUCAAAAGGGAAGCGUUUGACACCAGUGUUGUUUUUCCGAAAAUCAAUUGUGCCUGGCUGGAUUUUGUAGGAGUUUGACCUUAUCAGCUUCUUCUGCUUUUUUCCGGUCUGGUGCAAUGCACUUUUCGGUUAACAAGUCAACAUCAAUUUCUUUUGUUGUAAAAGGGUAAUUGGAAGGUGGCUUUCUUUUCGGAGAAAGUGUUUAUAGCCUUUUACCUCUACAAUCGGAGAGAUUGAGGUCUGCAGCGUAGAUCCUUCGGGGUUAGAUACAUUUGUGCUAAGUUAUAGCCCUGUAUAGACAACUUGUUGACUAUACUCGGUCAUGUAGCUUACUCGCUUAUGCUAUUUUACCUACGCUUAGGAUGUUGACAAAAUGGUUUUAAACGACCCGUCUUGAAACACGGACC